CUUUACAGGGAUCACCUUAUUUAAUCUUUACAGAAAUCUAUGAAGGAAAAUCUAUUAUUAUUUUAACUUUACAGAUAAAAAAACAUUUUAUGGAUUAUAGAAGUCAAAUAUAUAGCUCAUAGUCACCUGGCUGGGAACCACAGAGCCAGGAUUCAAGUCCAGCCCUGUCAAUACCAUGCUUUCGGUGUUCUAUAAAUUCAAUGGAGUGGUUCAAACUGUAGGCUUCAGAAGCCAAGUGCCUUGUUGUGAAUUGUGGCUUUCCCCAUUCCUUGCUAGGUGACCUGGGGCAAAUGUUUUACCCCCCAGUAAUAGUCACAGGUUUCAGAGAGUUAGAGGUGAGUUUGGAGAAACGAGGCAUGGCACGGAAGUGGUGACAGGAGGAACGUAAGUAUGCCUGAGGGAUACUGGCUGCUGUAAGACAAGAUGCUGCAUAGCCGUGGAAACUAAACUUGGAAUCAGAGAGAAAGCAGAUUGUGGAUUUUCUUUCAUAGGCUACCUGAGAGGACUAGUGUUCCAAGGAAUGCACUUUGGAAACUGCUGAGGUGGAGCCCUAGAGGACACAUCCAUUUUCUCUCAUGGAUAUAUAGUAGGCUGACCUGAAGAACACUUGGUUUCCUGAAUGGAUUAUUUUUUGUUAAUGUGACCUGUGUAAACCCAAGGAAUGAUCCCUAUCACAGAAUGGGAUCUUCGGCUUCCAGCUCCUGAUUUUUGACACAAAGCCCCAGGCCUGCAGGUCACCUCAGGCCUUUCUCUGACCUGCCUCCUUGCUUGACUGUGUUCUGAAGGAAUUCAGGAGCAGAACUGCUGCCAUCUGCAGAGACUUUGAAUCCAGGCUUGAAGAAGGGACACUGCAGUUGAUUCAGAAGAAGGUUUUUCCAGGCAUUAUCCCAGAAUCUGUCUCCCUGGAGAUUGAGGGCCUCCCAGCUGAGCAAAGGCUGCAGCAGCACUCCCCUGCUGGAUCUUCUGGCAGCCAUUUUACUUGGGAUUCAGUCCCAGAAAAAUAGAAAGGGAGGAGAUGUCUUACAAACUGCUUUUUUUUUUUUUUUUUUUUGAGAUAGAGUCUCACACUGUCACCUGGGCUGGAGUGCAGUGGCAGGAUCUUGGCUCACUGCAACCUCUGCCUCCCAGGUUCAAGCAAUUCUCCUGCCUCAGCCUCCUAAGCAGCUGGGAUUACAGGUGCAUGCCACCACAUCUGGCUAAUUUUUCGUAUUUUUAGUAGAGAUUGGGUUUCCCUAUGUUGGCCAGGCUGGUCUCGAACUCUUGACCUUGUGAUCCGCCCUCCUCGGCCUCCCAAAGUGCUGGGAUUACAGGCGAAAGCCACCGCGCCCAGCCACAAACUGUUUCUUUAAAGGGAAGAAAAAUCUUGACAUCUUAGGUACUUAUGAAUGAAAAAGGCAAUGAGUCAUAAAAUCUUCUAUGUUGCUGCAUUUUGCUAGCCGGGUUGCUUUACCAAUUUGGCUUUCAUUUCCUGAAUAUUAAAAUGAACAAGUAUAUAUAUAUACUGUUGAUUUGCUUCAUCUCAUGCUGUGAGGAUUUAAUGAGGUAAUAAUAUCUGUUACAAUUUAAAUUUAUCCUACAAUUUUUUGCCUUCAAGCAAGUCACUUAACUUCUCUAGGCCCAUCUGAAAAACAUGGUAAUAGUGUUUUCCCUGAGCUACUUCUUAAAUUGGUAGUGAGGAGUUAUGAAGAUGAAUGUUCUUUAAAAACUAAAUAUAAUUGUAUGCCUUUCAAGAUUUUUUAAAAAUCAAAAAUUUUUUUAAAGCCAAAGAAACCCCUUCUUUAUAGUGUUUAUGGGAAUAAUUUAAGCCAUGUUAGCUAAUCUUUCAUAGAGGUUAGUUCUGUGUCACUUUCAAAUGGGAAAUAAAGUUUGUAAGGUUAAUUUUAAUGGACAUUUUUGGGUACAAUGUGAGCCUUCAUCAACUGU
rnacentral:lncRNA from 1 species